UUUAAAUGAUUUAUAAGGGCACUUUCAUCUCUGGCAUUUUGUGAUUGCACAUAAUUUGGCAGAACAUUUACCAUGUCCUCACUGCCUUUGAACAUUCUGCCCUAAAGUGAUCUGGAAUAGCGAUGGUCAGAGACACUUUCUUGUAUUGAUAUAUGAAAUGAAGUCAUGGAGUCCUACUCAAGCUGCAUGUGAAGACAAAGCCAGAAAUUAAGAGUCUGCACCCAGCGGGGACUUCACUAGAACCUACCCUACUGGCACUUUGAUCAUGAACGUCUAGCCUUCAGAACUACUGGUCCUUCGUGCCUUAGACCUACAGCUUCUGCUUGGAGGGAUUUGUGAUGGAGACAGACGUAUGGAUGCUUGGACAGGACCUCAUCGUUGGCCUUUGGAAUGAGAGGCCUGGUAUAUCAGGAGUGGCCCACAGCUACAUUUGUACUCUGACGCAUUGGGAAGCCCCCAUGAUCUUCAAAGAGAGCUAUUCACAGCUCAUUUCCAGGAAGGGGACCUAUGUGAGCAAAGGGGUCAAGUCCAGUCAGCUGGAACUAAGUGAGAUUGCCAUGGCUGAGAAGCAGCCCCAAGGAGUUGAGCAUGGUGGAAAUCCUUAGAGAAACAAGUACAUCAGUGGUAGAGGCAGAGGAGGGGCCGUAUAAUUUCAAGUGAAUCUGCUUGGAAGAUUGCAUAUCUCGUGAAGAAAAGGAAUCUGACUUUUAGGAGCAGUGAUAGUCUGUCACAUAAAACAUGCGUAGUGAAGAAGAUCGAACCUGACAUGGAUCAUGACCAUGGUCGGGACCAGAGAGAUGGUAUCCCCGGGUCUCUCCAGCUCUCUGAUCCAUGCAGAAAUGUCAAGCCUUUAACUGUAUGGAGAGUGAAAGGCCUUCUUGCAGUGGUGAGUUGGCUGUGAGUGAUGUCAUGAGGAUCUGUCCCGUGUAAGCCUCAGGAUGUCUUCGAUGGAAGAACGGGGUGAGUGUGGAGGAGCAGGGUCUUAGCAGUGAGGGCAGGAGAAGUGGAGGUGGGAAGAAAAGAAGGGAAGGUCAGAGGAACUGGAGGAUGAGAACACUGGCCAUUUGUGGAGGGCGCUGAGAAAUUGGUACAGUGUUCAUUUUGGUUGGCUGGCAUGAGAGUUGUUAGAAGAGAAAUGUAGGGGGUGCCGAGGGAGUCCUUGGUAAUAUAAAGAGUUAGACUCAGGGGAAAUCAAAAAGGAAAAAAAAAAAAAAAGAAACAACAGCAAAAUUAGUGGUUUGAAAUGUAUGUCUGAUAAUCAUCAAAUGUUAUUUAGAACUGUGGUUUUGAAUGCAAGGAAUUCAGAGAGUUUGUGGACCAGCGUCAUUCAGCAGAAAUAUAAUGCAAGCCACAUGUGCAAUUAAAAAUUUUCUAGUAGCUGCAUUUAAAAAAGUAAAAAAAAACAGGUGAAAUUGAUUUUGAUGAUUUAUUUUAUUUAAAGCAGUAUAUCUAAAAUAUUACCAUUUCAACAAGUCUUCAAUAUAAAAGGAUUAAUGGGAUAGUUCACAUUCCUUCUCUCAUACUAAAGUAUGUCUUCAAAAACUCAUGUAUGUUUUACUCUCCCAGCGCAUCCCAAUUUGGACUGGUCACACUUCAAGUACUAAUAGCCACAUACGGUUGGUGGCUACUAUAUUGGACAGUGUGGCUUAAAAAAUUUUUUUUUAACAUUUAUUUAUUUUUGAGAGAGAGAGAGAGACAGAGACAGAGACAGAGAGACAGAGUAUGAGUGGGGGAGGGGCAGAGAGAGAGGGAGACACAGAAUCCGAAGCAGGCUCCAGGCUCUGAGCUGUCAGCACCAAGCCCAAUGUGGGACUUGAACUCACGGACUGUGAGAUCAUGACCUGAGCCAAAGUCAAACACUCAACUGACUGAGCCACCCAGGUGCCUCUGGACAGUGUAGUUUUAGAUAGCUUCUUUCUGCAUUGUCACCUUUUUGUCCUUUAUUUAAUAAACUUUUUAAAAGUAUGAUUAUUUCUGUGUGAAAAUUCAAAAUAAGCAAAAGUAAAAGUGUAUUGCUUAGAAAUGGGUAAGCAGGUGAUAGAAUAAAGCACAGGGGGAUGAUUAUCACAAAAGUGCCGAUAAUAAUUUUUUUUUAUUCCAAGAGAAAUGCAUGAUAGAAUUAGAAAAAAACAUGAAAGAGAAGAAAACAAAAUCUCCACAAAUUAUUCCACCAGUUAGAGAUGGGUGCUACUUUUCCCCCCACCUUUUAAAGAGAGCAACAACCUGCAACUGAAUGAUGACUGUGGAUGCAUCCGGGGUGGGGCAGGGUAGAGCCUGCUGCAUCAUGGGCCUCAGGCAUUGCCUGCCAAAUGAAGUUUUCUAAGUCAGGCACACGACUACAGAGUCUUCUAACAAUAGGAAGAGGGAACAUUUGCAACAUUAAAGAAAGGCAGACAAUGUUGGACUCUUGGCCAAGUCUGAUGAUGCCCAUUCCCACGAGAGGACACCCUAAAAGAUGAGAGAGCAAUUAAGGACAUUGACUAUUUUUUUUCCUCUCUAAGGCACGAACUUAACCAAUUUACUGGAAUUUUAAAAAGAAUUUACUAGAAAAAACACAAGCCAAUAACCUCAUAAACCAUUAGGUACUCGGUGUUUCUGGAAGGGCAGCUGUAAGUGCAUAGUCUAUGUCCAAUUUUGCUGUCAUCUUGGAAUGGGAAGAACAUUGGAAUGACAAGUUAGAUUGAAAAGCUGUUAAAAGCCAGAAAAAUAACGAGUGCCUAAUCCAUAAAUGGAAAACUGUCAGUCCCUUAUGUCUUUAUACGACUGGGUUUGAUGGUAAUUCAAGCAAAACUUCUGGGUUUUCAACCAGCCCUUAAUGGCAAAGAAAAUAAACCAUCCAGAGAAAAGGAGUCAUAAGAGGAACGGCGUACCUCAGUAGAGUGUGGAGAGGAAAUUUGGGUAAUAUAAUUUAUUUAGGAAGAGAGGAAAUCUGAACAGAGAGAAGAUGUGAAGCCGCAGAUGUGAAACCUGGCUGGUGAUUUUGGAGGUGAAACCUCUCUUGGUUUACGACCAUGACCUUCAAUGACCUUGCUCUGGCCACUGUACUGGAAUGCCUAUGGCAGAUAACAAGGCUGAGGGGGAGGCUGGUUACCACCCUGCUUCCUCUAUUCAGCCUGCUCUGCUGCUCAGUCAUCACGGGUUUGUCUCUGCGUGAUUGGUCUCCUAGGCUAAGAGAGUGGUUUCAAAGCUGGGGUUUCCAGGGCUUUCCUUUCUCCCUGCUGAGAUCUGGGAACCCCCAUGAAGUCUAAAUGGCAGCUGGAGGUUGUUGGUUACAUCAGGGGAAAGCCUCAGAAAAACACAUAUUGUGUAAAAGCCACUGCACCAUGGAAGCCCGCGGACACCCUCUGAUUCCCGGCUCCAGCUCUGUGGGAGCCCCUCUGUUAUGCCAUAAAAAUGACUGCAAACAGCAAGCCUGGGGACGCGGAUGUGCAUCGGCAGCUCACAGCGGUCCUAGGAACGUGGGCUUUUGAUGUCUUGGGAAAUGGGUCUUGCUGAGCAGUUUGGAGUGUUACCCCAAGUAGAUCAGAGAGCUGUUUUCUUCUCCAUUUAUUUCAAUGCAGCCUUGACCAUGUAGCUGGGGAUUGUUAGAUCCUCAGAAAUUAGGUGGGCUCCAUCAAGUUUGCUGAGGCUCUGCUCCAUGUAUCCUCCCCCUGCUGGCCAUUCCAGCUUCUUUUAUUGCUGCCCAUGUGGAGGGGCUCAAAAGACACAGACACUUGUCUGCUGCAAAGGUAUUCACAGCUCCCAGAAAACCAAGUUAGAAGAGCAUACAGUGGUGAUGUUGAAAACAGGAUUGGUGAGGGGCUCUGAGACAGGGCUCUGAUCUUGACUGUUCUAUGACCUUGGGGAAGUUCCAUCACUUUUUUUAAAAAAUUUUUUAACGUUUAUUUAUUUUUGAGAGAGAGAGACAGAGACAGAGUGUGAGUGGGCAAGGGGCAGAGAGAGAGAGGGAGACACAGAAUCUGAAGCAGGCUCCAGGCUCUGAGCUGUGAGCACAGAGUCCGAUAUGGGGCUCGAACUCACAAACCAUGAGAUUAUGACCUGAGCCGAAGUUGGACGAUUAACCGACUGAGCCACCCAGGUGCCCCCAGCCACUUCUUAGGGGUUCAGAGAGACCAGGGUGAGCUAGCACUGAUGGCUUUCAAACUGGGCUCUGGGGAGUCUACUCAAGUGUUGCGGAAAGUGGAGGUGAGAACUGAGAGAGGAGCCUUCUAGUAUCUUCUAUUUACCCCAGCCGAGGCAGGUCCACUUUUAUCUGUUGACUGUUUUACAUACUGGGGUCCCCUAGAAACUUAAAGAAAGAGUUACAAAACUUAAAAUAUUUCAAAACCACUUAACUAGAUAAUCUCUCACCUGUAAAAUUUUGAUUUUGUGAUUUUUCCAGUGUUCUUUAGAUUGAACAUUUUGAAAGUGUUUGUUGAUGGCUGAUACAGCAGAUUCCUUAUCGACUUUUGUAUCCUUCUAUGCAGUAUAUUAAAGACU